GCAGAUUUGCUCGUUGCAUCUUUCCUUGAAAAAUCUUCAUUCCUUUAUUCUUUCAGCUUGCACAUCCAGUAUUGGACUCAAUAACAAAAACGGACCACCAAUGGGUAGUGGACUUGCUUUUUGCUUUUAACAGUGGUAAUAUUCCCACUUUGAGGCAAUGAAACCCACUUGGACAAAACAACCUGAUUUAGCAAGCCACGAAUUAUUACUGCGUCAGAAGAUCACGUUACUCUGCUUAAUGGAGAUGGCAUUCAAUCGCCCACCAAAUGACCGAUCCUUAUCCUUUAAAGAAAUAGCUACCGAUGCGAGGAUACCAGUAAACGAGGUCUACUGUGUUCAGGGUCUCGAAAUAACGGCCGGUCAACGGAC